rnacentral:rRNA from 1 species
AUACGGAGGGUGCGAGCGUUGUUCGGAAUUAUUGGGCGUAAAGAGCAUGUAGGCGGUCUGUUAAGUCUGGUGUGAAAGCCCGGGGCUCAGCCCCGGAAGUGCAUUGGAUACUGGCAGACUUGAGUAUGGGAGAGGAAAGCGGAAUUCCGAGUGUAGGAGUGAAAUCCGUAGAUAUUCGGAGGAACACCAGUGGCGAAGGCGGCUUUCUGGACCAAUACUGACGCUGAGAUGCGAAAGCGUGGGGAGCGAACAGGAUUAGAUACCCUAGUAGUCC